CAAUAGCGUAUAUUAAAGUUGUUGCAGUUAAAAAGCUCGUAGUUGAACUUCUGGCUAUUCUUCCAGCUGGCUUCGGUCGCUGUAAGAGUGGUCAUCCGCUUGGGAACUACGUUCGAACUUCACUGUUCGGCGUAAGGAACAGGCAUUUUACUUAGAAAAAUUAGAGUGUUCAAGGCAGGCUAUCGCCCUGAAUACACAAGCUUGGAAUAAUGAAAUAGGACUAUUUCCAUUUUAUUGGUUAUUGGAAUUAGUAAUGAUUAAUAGGGACAGUUGGGGACGAUUAGUAUUUAAUUGUCAGAGGUGAAAUUCUUGGAUUUAUUAAAGACUAACUUAUGCGAAAGCAUUUGUUCAAGGAAUGUUUUUCUAUUAAUUCAAGAACGAAAGUUAAGGGGAGUCAAAGACGAUCAGAUACCGU
rnacentral:rRNA from 1 species